GGGGCCAUAGCUCAGCUGGGAGAGCACCUGCUUUGCACGCAGGGGGUCAGCGGUUCGAUCCCGCUUGGCUCCA
rfam:Francisella sp. CA97-1460, complete genome.